UACGUAGGGUGCAAGCGUUGUCCGGAAUUACUGGGCGUAAAGGGCGCGUAGGCGGUGUGUCAAGUCAGGCGUGAAAGCCCCGGGCUCAACCUGGGAACAGCGCUUGAGACUGGCACGCUCGAGUUCGGGAGAGGAUGGUGGAAUUCCCAGUGUAGAGGUGAAAUUCGUAGAUAUUGGGAAGAACACCGAUGGCGAAGGCAGCCAUCUGGACCGACACUGACGCUGAGGCGCGAAAGCGUGGGGAGCAAACAGG
rnacentral:rRNA from 1 species